AGGGAAAGCGGGGGGCAGGCCUAACACAUGCAAGUCGAACGGUAACAGGAAGCAGCUUGCUGCUUUGCUGACGAGUGGCGGACGGGUGAGUAAUGUCUGGGAAACUGCCUGAUGGAGGGGGAUAACUACUGGAAACGGUAGCUAAUACCGCAUAACGUCGCAAGACCAAAGAGGGGGACCUUCGGGCCUCUUGCCAUCGGAUGUGCCCAGAUGGGAUUAGCUAGUAGGUGGGGUAACGGCUCACCUAGGCGACGAUCCCUAGCUGGUCUGAGAGGAUGACCAGCCACACUGGAACUGAGACACGGUCCAGACUCCUACGGGAGGCAGCAGUGGGGAAUAUUGCACAAUGGGCGCAAGCCUGAUGCAGCCAUGCCGCGUGUAUGAAGAAGGCCUUCGGGUUGUAAAGUACUUUCAGCGGGGAGGAAGGGAGUAAAGUUAAUACCUUUGCUCAUUGACGUUACCCGCAGAAGAAGCACCGGCUAACUCCGUG
rnacentral:rRNA from 1 species